rnacentral:rRNA from 1 species
CCUACGGGAGGCAGCAGUGGGGAAUUUUGGACAAUGGGCGCAAGCCUGAUCCAGCAAUGCCGCGUGAGUGAAGAAGGCCUUCGGGUUGCAAAGCUCUUUUGUCAGGGAAGAAACGGCUGAGGAUAAUACCUUUGGCUAAUGACGGUACCUGAAGAAUAAGCACCGGCUAACUACGUGCCAGCAGCCGCGGUAAUACGUAGGGUGCAAGCGUUAAUCGGAAUUACUGGGCGUAAAGCGUGCGCAGGCGGUUUUGUAAGUCUGACGUGAAAUCCCCGGGCUCAACCUGGGAAUUGCGUUGGAGACUGCAAGGCUGGAGUCUGGCAGAGGGGGGUAGAAUUCCACGUGUAGCAGUGAAAUGCGUAGAGAUGUGGAGGAACACCGAUGGCGAAGGCAGCCCCCUGGGUCAAGACUGACGCUCAUGCACGAAAGCGUGGGGAGACAACAGAUAGAUACCUCGUAGUCCACCGACCCGUAACCGACUAGUCUACUAGUUGUUCGGUUCGUUAUUAGUACGUUAGGUACG